UACGUGGGGGCCGAGCGUUGUCCGGAGUUACUGGGCGUAAAGCGCGCGCAGGCGGCCCCGCACGUCCGGCGUGAAAGCCCCCGGCUCAACCGGGGAGGGUCGUCGGGGACGGCGGGGCUUGAGGGCGGCAGGGGCCGGUGGAAUUCCCGGUGUAGUGGUGAAAUGCGUAGAGAUCGGGAGGAACACCCGUGGCGAAGGCGGCCGGCUGGGCCGACCCUGACGCUGAGGCGCGAAGGCGUGGGGAGCGAACGGG
rnacentral:rRNA from 1 species